rnacentral:rRNA from 1 species
AUUGAACGCUGGCGGCAUGCCUAACACAUGCAAGUCGAGCGAGCGGCGGGCGGGUGUGCAAUGUCUAGGAAACUGUCCGCUGGAGGGGGAUAACUACUGGAAACGGUAGCGAAUACCGCAUACCAUCAGAUGUGCUCAGAUGGGAUUAGCUAGUUGGUGGGGUAAUGGCUCACCUGGGCGACGAUCCCUAGCCGGUCUGUGAGGAUGACCAGCCACACUGGGACUGAGACACGGGCCAGACUCCUACGGGAGGCAGCAGUGGGGAAUGUUGGACAAUGGGCGCAAGCCUGAUCCAGCCAUGCCGCGUGUGUGAAGAAGGCCUUCGGGUUGUAAAGCACUUUUGGCAGAGAGGCGUUAUCUGAAGAAGAAGCACCGGCUAACUCCGUGCCAGCAGCCGCGGUAAUUC